GGUUUGGCACCUCGAUGUCGGCUCAUCACAUCCUGGGGCUGUAGUAGGUCCCAAGGGUUGGGCUGUUCGCCCAUUAAAGUGGUACGCGAGCUGGGUUCAGAACGGCGUGAGACAGUUCGGUCCCUAUCCGUCGCAGGCGUAGGAAAUUUGAGAAGACCUGUCCUUAGUACGAGAGGACCGGGAUGGACGUACCUCUGGUGUACCAGUUGU
rnacentral:rRNA from 1 species